UAGUCUACGCCGUAAACGAUGGAUACUAGCUGUUGGACUUCGGUUCAGUGGCUAAGCGAAAGUGAUAAGUAUCCCACCUGGGGAGUACGUUCGCAAGAAUGAAACUCAAAGGAAUUGACGGGGGCCCACACAAGCGGUGGAGCAUGUGGUUUAAUUCGAUGAUACGCGAGGAACCUUACCAGGGCUUAAAUGUAAAUUGACAGGACUAGAGAUAGUUUUUUCUUCGGACAAUUUACAAGGUGCUGCAUGGUUGUCGUCAGCUCGUGCCGUGAGGUGUCAGGUUAAGUCCUAUAACGAGCGCAACCCCUGUUGUUAGUUGCCAGCGAGUCAAGUCGGGAACUCUAACAAGACUGCCAGUGCAAACUGUGAGGAAGGUGGGGAUGACGUCAAAUCAUCACGGCCCUUACGUCCUGGGGCUACAUACGUGCUACAAUGGCAGUGACAAUGGGAUAAUCCAUAAAAACCUGUCUCAGUUCGGAUUGGGGUCUGCAACUCGA
rnacentral:rRNA from 1 species